rnacentral:rRNA from 1 species
GACAGAGGUGCCGAGCGUUAGGCGGAAUCACUGGGCUUAAAGCGUGUGUAGGCGGAUUUGUAAGUACCUUGUGAAAUCCCAUGGCUCAACCAUGGAACUGCUCGGUAUACUGCUUAUCUUGAGCCACUUAGGGGCAGUCGGAACAGAUGGUGGAGCGGUGAAAUGCGUAGAUAUCAUCUGGAACGCCAAAGGUGGAAACAGGCUGCUGGGGUUGUGCCGACGCUGAGACACGAAAGCCAGGGGAGCAAACGGG